rnacentral:rRNA from 1 species
AACGAGCGCUGGCGGCAGGCUUAACACAUGCAAGUCGAGCGCAUCCUUCGGGGUGAGCGGCAGACGGGUGAGUAACGCGUGGGAACGUACCCUUUCCUACGGAAUAGCUCCGGGAAACUGGAAUUAAUACCGUAUACGCCCUUAGGGGGAAAGAUUUAUCGGGGAAGGAUCGGCCCGCGUUGGAUUAGCUAGUUGGUGGGGUAAAGGCCUACCAAGGCGACGAUCCAUAGCUGGUCUGAGAGGAUGAUCAGCCACAUUGGGACUGAGACACGGCCCAAACUCCUACGGGAGGCAGCAGUGGGGAAUAUUGGACAAUGGGCGCAAGCCUGAUCCAGCCAUGCCGCGUGAGUGAUGAAGGCCUUAGGGUUGUAAAGCUCUUUCAGUAGGGAAGAUAAUGACGGUACCUACAGAAGAAGCCCCGGCUAACUUCGUGCCAGCAGCCGCCGUAA